CACUGUUGAAGUCCGAUUGGUGCUGUUGAAGGUUGAUGGCUGGAGAGGUACGGAAGACACCAGAGACAGUCGAUCAUUGUAGAAAUCUGACUGCUGGAGCCCAUCCAUUGUAGAAGUUCGUCUGGAAUCCAUCCGUUGUAGAAGUUUGGAUGGAGUCCGAUUCUUGUAGGAGUCUGGAAGGAGGCCACUUACUGUAAAAGCUCGGAUGGAGAUCGGUUGCCGUGGAAGUCUGGAUGGAGAUCGCUUAUUGUAUAAGCUCGGACGAAGUCCACUUACUGUAGAAACUCGGAUGAAGUCCGCUUGCAAUAGAAGUUCGGACGGAAUUCGCUUACUGUAGAAGCUUGGAUG
rnacentral:lncRNA from 1 species